GAUGAAGAACGCAGCGAAAUGCGAUACGUAAUGUGAAUUGCAGAUUUCAGUGAAUCAUCGAAUCUUUGAACGCACAUUGCGCCCGCCAGUAUUCUGGCGGGCAUGCCUGUUCGAGCGUCAUUUCAACCAUCAAGCGCUUCGCUUGUGUUGGGGCCCUGCGGCUGCCGCAGGCCCCUAAAUCCAGUGGCGGGCUCGUCGUGGUACCGAGUGCAGUAAACAUCCUCGCUCAGGGAACCCGACGGGUGCCGGCCGUGAAACCCCCCCUCCUCAAGGUUGACCUCGGAUCAGGUAGGAAUACCCGCUGAACUUAAGCAUAUCAAUAAGCGGAGGA
rnacentral:misc_RNA from 1 species